rnacentral:misc_RNA from 1 species
UCUCCGUUGGUGAACCAGCGGAGGGAUCAUUACUGGAAUCGCAAGAUCCCACAACCCUGUGAACCUACCGAAACGUUGCCUCGGCGGGUGCCCGGCCUCUGCGCCGGGCGCUGCGCCCGCCGGCGGCCUCCUACUCUGUCUCUGCAGCGUGGCAUCUCAGAGUCCCAGAAAACAAGUCAAAACUUUCAACAACGGAUCUCUUGGCUCUA